ACAAUUAGGGCAACAUGCCCACUUUCUCUCCUCUCUAUUAGACUCCUUCACUCCUCUUCAACAAUGUAAAUUUUUUCCUUCAAAUACAAAAAAUUUGGCGUGAAUCUAGGGUUAAUGUCUUAAAAAUAGAAGAAAACUUUCGAAAUUGGAAGAUUUUUGCUGCAUAACUGUGAAAUUUGAAGUCGUGUGUUGCUUCUCCGCAAGAUUCUCAUGCGAAAGGAUCAGUUUGACCUUGAACAUAUCAGCAGAUUUACAAUCAUUAUUCACGUGGAAUACUAAGCAGAUUUUCUGUCUACCUUACAAUAACUUGGAUUUCACUCUUUAAUCCCUAUUACUUGGGUCUGAUUUUCUUCUAUGUGAGUACAUACGAAUGUCUGGAUCUCUGGGUGUGUAUACAUCUUAUGUUCCACUAAGCUAAUCUCUAGGACAUAAUAUAUGUACACUUGUCAUCCAUGGUCUAAUAUCAUUGAAGUUUGCUAGAGUGUAGAGUAGAGGUGGUCAUAUGGAUGUUGAUUCCACAGCUAACACUCUGAAUUUUAGGACGUGGAAAUUGAAAAUAGAAUGUAAUAAAGAAAUUUACCAGGCUAUUGGUUACCUAUAGCAAUAUCAGAUAGUAAAUUCUAUGCCUUCUUGUACAACUUGAUGAAGUUUGGCCAAUAGUUAAUUAUCGAAAUAGAACAAUUUUAUGCAUUAUACAACUUCACAACAGAAAUCUUACGAUUUUUCCAUUGCCAACAGAGAAAGUAGACUAAUUUAGCCAACAACGCAUAUAGAUCACAUAGAAUGUUAGUCGUAAAUACACAAUUUUAAUCGCAUAUAGUAGCUUCUCCCAUUAGUUAUGCCCCCCCCCCUUUCUCUAGUUAGUUACGUUAUCUAAUCAUUUUCAACUUAUGUAAUCCUCAAUAUAUAGCAUUUCAUUUGUCUAUUUAAGGUUCUUAUUUUGGUCAAAUAAAGGAACUGAGCAUUCCAAGAUUGGGGUGUUAGUAAUUCUCAACUUAUUUUGAUGUCAACUUGUUAUUCAUUUUAGAAAGCAUUCUGAUGUCUUAUUAAAUAAAGAACUCUAAGGUCUUAUUUAUUUUAAUAUUAAAUAGGAAUGGACAAUCUAGAGCAUGAUUGGAUGUACAAAAGGUUGGAUGGCCGAGGGGGUAUUAAUUAAUUCAAGUUUCAUAACUGGUGUGAACAAGUUUCUCCAGUUUGCUUAUUCUAAGCGCAAUCUCAUGAGUAGUGACAAUGUUAGAUGUCCAUGUAAAAAAUGUCACAACAUUAAAUACAUGUAUGUUGAAACUAUUAAAUUGCACCUUUAUUAGUAUGGAUUUGUUGAGAACUAUUUUCUUUGGAAGUAUCAAGGAGAAAAAAUAUGGCUGGUGAGAUGUCUUCUAGUGGUGAUUUGCAUGGUGGCGCUCAACCUGAAUAGGGAUACGAGAAUCCAUAUCGACAAAUGGUAUUGGAUGCAGCUGGACCCAAUUCUGGCCAUGGUUUGUGCUGGCAGUCUUAUAAUAAUAGUGAAUAUGAGUCGUCUCAUUCUUAUGAACCUUCAAUGGAGGAGGAGCCUAAUCCUUCAAUGGAGGAGGAGCCAAAUCUUGAGUGCCAAAGGUUUUAUGAUUUGCUACAGGCCGCCGAUGCAAAAUUAUACCCUGGUUCAUCCCUCUCUCAACUCGCAGUAGUUUUCAGGAUGCUAAAUAUUAAAAUGGAGAAUACUUUAUCACAAAGAGGUUAUAACCACAUGAUGCAAUUGUUGAAAGAGGCUUUACCAUAAGAUAACACAAUGCUUGAUAACUAUUAUGAGACCAAGAAGCUAGUGCGUAGCUUGGGUUUGCAAGUUGAAAAGAUUGAUUGUUGUAAUUCUGGAUGUAUGUUGUAUUGGGGUGAAGAUGAGGACCUCACAUCUUGCAAGUUUUGUGGCCACCAGAGGUACAAACGUCGUGUCGGUUUUCGUAAGAGAAAAUUAAUACCUUACAAAAAAAUAUGUUAUUUUCUUUUGAUUCCUAGAUUGCGGAGAUUAUAUGCAUCUCAUGCUACAGCCGCUGAUAUGAGAUGGCAUCAUGAGCACAUACAAGAGGAGGGCGUAAUGCAUCAUCCAUCAGACUCUAAGGUUUGGAAGCACUUCAACGAAACUCAUCCCUUUUUUGCUGUUGAACCAAGAAAUGUGAGGUUGGAAUUAUGUACUGAGGGUUUUCAGCCCUUUGGUCAUUCAGGGAUGAAGUACUCUUCAUGGCCAGUGAUUGUCACUCCAUACAAUUUGCCUCCGGGGAUGUGUAUGAAAGAGGCGUACAUGUUCUUAACUGUCAUUGUUCCAGGGCGAAACAACCCUAAACAAAAAAUUGAUGUUUAUCUACAACCUUUAAUAAAGGAAUUGACCUUGUUGUGGGAGACGGGUGUAGAAACAUUUGACAUCUCAAAAAAACAAAAUUUUCAAUAAAGGGCCGCUUUGAUAUGGACAAUCAAUGACUUUUUAGCAUAUUUUUAUGUUAUCUGGAUGGAGUACUGCAGGUAUCUUAGCAUGUACUUAUUGUAUGGAGGAAGCACAAUCCUUUAGAUUACAUCAUGGUGGAAAAGCAACUUGGUUUGACAGUUAUAGAAUGUUUCUUGACCAAAAUCAUUCGUUUAGGAGAGAUCGUAAGAACUUUCGUAAAGGUCUGACUGUCAGAAGGCUACCACCACCCCUUAGAAUAGGAGAGGAAGUCUUGAACCAAAUUUGUGAGUUGGGACUGAGGAAAGUAACUGAGCUAGAUGCAGAAGAAGUUAAUGGGAGAAUUUCUAGGUGUUGUGGAUGGAAAAAGAGAAGCAACUUUUAGGAUUUGCCUUAUUGUAGCUCUAACAUGAUCCGACAAAAUCUCGAUGUCAUGCAUAUUGAGAAGAAUGUCUUUGAUAAUGUAUUUAACACAGUUCUUAAUGUUGAUGGCAAAACAAAAAACAAUCCAAAGGCACGUGAAGAUAUGGUAAACUAUUGCGAUCGACCGCAAUUGGCAAAGAAUCCUAUUGAUGGAAGCUACCCCAAAGCUGCAUAUACAAUAGAGAAGAAUCAGCAACUUUGGAAAGACUUUAGAAAGAUCCUAAGUAUGUUGAAAAGUCAGAAAUAAAUGCAAAAAAUCGUUGUGCUGGGAGCGGAGUUGCCACUGGGACUCACACAGGUGGCUCUGCAGUGUUAGGGAGCAUCGCAAGAGACUUGUGUUAAAAAGGGUCGAGAUCCAACACCAAGUGAGUUGCAUUUGCACGUCCAUACACGUGGUAAUGAUGGAAAAUCUUUUGUUGCUGAGAGAUCCCGAAUCGUACAUGAAAAAUAUCAGGAGAUAUUACAAUAACAAACACAGACUCAAUCUGAUAUUGAACAGUGUAAAACAUAUUAUUAAGCCGCGGGAGGAGAAAAGAAAAGAAGAGUAUAUGGUCUUGGAUCUCAAGCAAAAUGCUACUACGGGCCGAAUCUUCAUGACUCUUUUGGAUCUGAUGCUACAUCAUCAGCAACACCUCCAAAUGCUUAAUCACAGAGAAUCUGGAUGAGUUAGUGAUGCGAUUGAUUCCUGCACUGACAAAUCAUAUAGUUCCUGUAAUCAUUGAGCGGGUACGCGAAUUAGUUUCCUUACCCUCGCAUCAGCCAAAUACUGAUCUUACCAACUAUCCAUUAGAAGUGGCACCUACAGUCCCUAAAUCUUUUACUGCUGCUAACGAUGAGGUUCAUGCAUUGGGUUCUGAUGAUGACCGUAACUCUCCACCCUCGCAUAGUUAGCCUAUUUAUUCGGUCUUUAUUGUUGGUCCUUGUGGAAUUUUUGUACUUAAUGAUACCGUUAUAUGCAUUAUGCUAUAUAUUUUGGACCUUGUUGAAUGUAUUAUUAGUUUAUAUUAAUAUCAGUGACUUUUCAUUAAAUGUA